rnacentral:rRNA from 1 species
AUUGAACGCUGGCGGCAGGCCUAACACAUGCAAGUCGAGCGGAUGAAGGGAGCUUGCUCCUGGAUUCAGCGGCGGAUGGGUGAGUAAUGCCUAGGAAUCUGCCUGGUAGUGGGGGAUAACGUCCGGAAACGGGCGCUAAUACCGCAUACGUCCUGAGGGAGAAAGUGGGGGAUCUUCGGACCUCACGCUAUCAGAUGAGCCUAGGUCGGAUUAGCUAGUUGGUGGGGUAAAGGCCUACCAAGGCGACGAUCCGUAACUGGUCUGAGAGGAUGAUCAGUCACACUGGAACUGGGACACGGUCCAGACUCCUACGGGAGGCAGCAGUGGGGAAUAUUGGCCAAUGGGCGAAAGCCUGAUCCAGCCAUGCCGCGUGUGUGAAGAAGGUCUUCGGAUUGUAAAGCACUUUAAGUUGGGAGGAAGGGCAGUAAGUUAAUACCUUGCUGUUUUGACGUUACCAACAGAAUAAGCACCGGCUAACUUCGUG